rnacentral:lncRNA from 1 species
GGAAAUGCCAUUGAAAACACUGCACUGCCUAUGAUUUAUCUUAUAGCAAGUCCUGCCUUUAAGAAAUUAACAUUACACUGAAGGCUUCUACUUCCAUAAUUUGGGAGAAUAAGCAUUCUAUGGUUAUUGAGAAGCAGCAAGCAAUAGUGAAGAGAUAUAGAAGUAAUUGGGUUCUGAGUACUUUGUCAUAGAGCUCAGUAUCUGCAUGGAAAUAUAAUAAAAGGGCCGAAAAAGGGUAUCCAAUGGCAUUUCAGACAUGAGUAGUCAUCAUAACUUCAUACUCUCUCCGUGGCAUUUCACCUGCCAAAGAUCUCCUUGGGACCAGAUUCCAUUCUCAGCUUGUGACCAAGAUAAAGUUACCAUAUAACUAAUCUUUUUGGAAUGGGAAGUCAAGGACCAGAUAAAAUUAAAUGCCUUUGACACUAUCACCCAAGAGACCAGUGCUUCAUUACUGAUGAGAUGGUAAGUCUCUGAGUUUAGUCCUGUGUACAUUCUUAACCCACUGCUAAUGCCUAUCUACCGAGCAUGCUUCUU